CCUACGGGUGGCAGCAGUGGGGGAUAUUGCACAAUGGGGGGAACCCUGAUGCAGCGACGCCGCGUGGGUGAAGAAGCGCCUCGGCGCGUACAGCCCUGUCAGCAGGGAAGAAAAUGACGGUACCUGACCAAGAAGCCCCGGCUAACUACGUGCCAGCAGCCGCGGUAAUACGUAGGGGGCAAGCGUUCUCCGGAUUUACUGGGUGUAAAGGGAGCGUAGACGGCAAGGCAAGUCUGGAGUGAAAGCCCGGGGCACAACCACGGGACUGCUAUGGAAACUGUGUUGCUGGAGUGCAGGAGGGGUAAGCGGAAUUCCUAGUGUAGCGGUGAAAUGCGUAGAUAUUAGGAGGAACACCGGUGGCGAAGGCGGCUUACUGGACUGUAACUGACGUUGAGGCUCGAAGGCGUGGGGAGCAAACAGGAUUAGAUACCCCAGUAGUC
rnacentral:rRNA from 1 species